GGAGGACGUCUUUUAUUCUUAGUCUUAGGGGUUGAUUAAUGAUUUGGUACUAUUCGUUCAUUCUCUAUAAAAUCUGAAUUUUUUGUAUCUAUCUAACUUAUGGAAUUUCUUUUUAAAUAAGUUUUUUUCUUCUUUUAAAGAAAUAUCUUAGAAAAAACAAAUUAAUUAAUUUGUUUUUUCUUUUUAAUUUUUUAUUUUAAAAUUAAUUUAAUUAAUUUAAUUAAUAAUGAAUUUAUGAAUUUAAAUAGUAAAUUUAAAUACAGGGCGGA
rnacentral:tRNA from 1 species